rnacentral:rRNA from 1 species
UACGGGGGGGAGCAAGCGUUGUUCGGAUUUACUGGGCGUAAAGGGCGCGUAGGCGGUCGUGACAAGUCACUUGUGAAAUCUCCGGGCUUAACUCGGAAAGGUCAAGUGAUACUGUCGGACUAGAGUACAGAAGGGGCAACUGGAAUUCUCGGUGUAGCGGUGAAAUGCGUAGAUAUCGAGAGGAACACCUGCGGCGAAGGCGGGUUGCUGGGCUGAUACUGACGCUGAGGCGCGAAAGCGUGGGGAGCAAACAGG